rnacentral:tRNA from 1 species
UGAAAUAUCCAAAAAUAAGCUUCUAACUUAAACUAAAGCGAAUAACGAUCGUUUAUAUUUC